GUGGGGAAUAUUGCGCAAUGGGCGAAAGCCUGACGCAGCGACGCCGCGUGGGUGAUGAAGGUCUUCGGAUCGUAAAGCCCUGUGGGAGAGGAAAGAACAACCUGAGGUAACGCUCAGGCCUGACGGUACCUCUCCAGAAAGCACCGGCUAACUCCGUGCCAGCAGCCGCGGUAAUACGGAGGGUGCGAACGUUGUUCGGAAUUACUGGGCGUAAAGCGCGUGUAGGCGGCGCAGCAAGUCAGAUGUGAAAUCCCUUGGCUCAACUGAGGAAGUGCAUUUGAAACUGCCGUGCUAGAGUACGGGAGAGGGCUGUAGAAUUCCCGGUGUAGAGGUGAAAUUCGUAGAUAUCGGGAGGAAUACCAGUGGCGAAGGCGGCAGCCUGGACCGAUACUGACGCUGAGAUGCGAAAGCGUGGGGAGCAAACAGGAUUAGAUACCCGAGUAGUCC
rnacentral:rRNA from 1 species